GGAACAGCGAGAGCGUGGAACCUGGGUCUCUGCAUGGUUUUGUGAAACAGAAUUCACCUCCUCUCUUUGGAAUAUUCCUGAGACAGAAAUAAACAGGAGGGUCAGAGCCCCUGCACUCUCACAUCUCUUCCUGACGGUGGCUGUCGUAUUUGUCUCUGGCUCAAUAACAAAUUACCCCUCAAACUCAGUGGCUUAGAACAGCAAACACUGGGUGUUUCCCAGUUCCUGUGGGUCAGGAAUUCAGGAGCAGCUGAACUGUGUGGUUUUGCCUCAGGGUCUCCCAAGAGUCUGCAGCCAGGACUUGGGCAAAGGCACAAUAUCCGUUCACACAGCUGCUAGAGAGACCUCCGUUCCCUGCUGUGGGACGUCUCCACAGGUAAGUGUUCGUGGGACAUGAGUUCUGGCCUCCCCAGAGCAAGUGACCAGAGGGAGACAGACAGACAGACAGACAGACAAAGGCAGGAAGAGAAGAAGCAAGAGAGAAAGAAAGCACCGUGAUGUUUUAUGACCCAGUCUCCAGAAUCAACGACUGACAUCUCUACUUCACACAGCUUGUUUCUAACAAGCACAACAUGUGGGAUCUCGGUUCCCUCACCAGGGAUCAAACCUGAGUCCCCUGUACUGGGAGCUCGAAGUUGUAACCACUGAACCACCAAGGAAGCUCUCUUAUUCGCUUUAUUGGAUUUCCCAGACUUCUUCAGACAGACUUGGAUGUAUAAGCUAUCAUCUUCUUUACUGUCUCCAUUGCAUCAUCAUGAAGUAACCAGACUUCUCUCCUGAUUCACAAGAAGCUGGGGCAUCAUUGGUUGAGGUUGGGGGGAAGGUGAGUUAUCUAAACUAUACUGAUACAAUGUGAGAAAUCAACUCUUUAUGCUUUUAAAAAAAUUAAUUUAUUUACUUUAACUGGAGGCUAAUUAGUUUACAAUAUCGUGGUGGUCUUUGCCAUGCAUUGACAUGAAUCAGCCACGGGGGUACAUGUGUCUCCCAUCCUGAAUCCCCACCCCCCUCCC
ensembl:lncRNA